GACAGGAGAAUGAAAUGAGAUUCCUUGGAUUCUGUCUACCAGGUCAAUUACCUUUGAUUAUUUGAAAGAAAGAAGAAAGUGUCAGAGGAAACUAGAUCAAAAAUCACGGCAAAAGCGUGUCUGAAUGGAAAGGGCAUCUCUGUAAUUUGAGAAGACAGGCUUGAGAAAAUGGAGAAGCCUGAACAACGAAAUUGAAAACUGGGAAGAAAAUUGAUAUGAUUU
ensembl:ncRNA C34F6.16 ncRNA